rnacentral:rRNA from 1 species
ACUCCUGCGGGAGGCAGCAGUGGGGAAUUUUGGACAAUGGGCGAAAGCCUGAUCCAGCAAUGCCGCGUGAGUGAAGAAGGCCUUCGGGUUGUAAAGCUCUUUUGUCAGGGAAGAAACGGUGAAAGCUAAUAUCUUUUGCUAAUGACGGUACCUGAAGAAUAAGCACCGGCUAACUACGUGCCAGCAGCCGCGGUAAUACGUAGGGUGCAAGCGUUAAUCGGAAUUACUGGGCGUAAAGCGUGCGCAGGCGGUUUUGUAAGUCUGAUGUGAAAUCCCCGGGCUCAACCUGGGAAUUGCAUUGGAGACUGCAAGGCUAGAAUCUGGCAGAGGGGGGUAGAAUUCCACGUGUAGCAGUGAAAUGCGUAGAUAUGUGGAGGAACACCGAUGGCGAAGGCAGCCCCCUGGGUCAAGAUUGACGCUCAUGCACGAAAGCGUGGGGAGCAAACAGGAUUAGAUACCCUAGUAGUCC